UACGAAGGGGGCUAGCGUUGCGCGGAAUGACUGGGCGUAAAGGGCGCGUAGGCGGCUCUCAUCGUCGGGCGUGAAAUUCCUGGGCUUAACCUGGGGGCUGCGUUCGAUACGUGGGGGCUUGAGUGUGGGGGAGGGUCGUGGAAUUCCAAGUGUAGAGGUGAAAUUCGUAGAUAUUGGGAAGAACAUCGGUGGCGAAGGCGGCGACCUGGUCCAUGACUGACGCUGAGGCGUGAAAGCGUGGGGAGCAAACAGG
rnacentral:rRNA from 1 species